UACGUAGGGUGCAAGCGUUAAUCGGAAUACUGGGCGUAAAGCGUGCGCAGGCGGUUUUGUAAGUUUGUCGUGAAAGCCCCGGGCUCAACCUGGGAAUUGCGAUGAAGACUGCAAGGCUUGAAUCUGGCAGAGGGGGGUAGAAUUCCACGUGUAGCAGUGAAAUGCGUAGAGAUGUGGAGGAACACCGAUGGCGAAGGCAGCCCCCUGGGUCAAGAUUGACGCUCAUGCACGAAAGCGUG
rnacentral:rRNA from 1 species